rnacentral:rRNA from 1 species
UACGUGGGGGGCUAGCGUUGUUCGGAAUUAUUGGGCGUAAAGGGCGCGUAGGCUGCGGGGCAAGUCGGGUGUGAAAUCUCAGAGCUCAACUCUGAAACUGCACUCGAUACUGCUUUGCUUGAGGACUGGAGAGGAGAUUGGAAUUCACGGUGUAGCAGUGAAAUGCGUAGAUAUCGUGAGGAAGACCAGUGGCGAAGGCGGAUCUCUGGACAGUUACUGACGCUGAGGAGCGAAGGCCAGGGGAGCAAACGGG